rnacentral:telomerase_RNA from 1 species
GGAAGAAGGGAAUCGUGGGGUUCUUGCUCCACUCUCUAACCCUAGGAUAUUUUCACAGGGGAAUCUUUUCUCCGACGUUGUUUCCAUAGUACCUUUCACGUUAAACAAAGGUGCUCUCCCCUCUCCUUCGCUUUGGACUUUCUGCAACUCCUCACCUCGAGUUUGCACUAGAAUUUACAGAACAUUCGGAGGCUGGCCGGAGACAGCGACCGCGUUCACGCAUUUCGGUGUUCAGGAGGUUUCCUCCGCUUCCACUGGCCUCCAGGUGAAGGUUCCGUUUCGGUGCAUGACUUAAGGUACAGCAACAGUGAACCGGUUUGUUCCUUAGCACCUCAGCCAUGGUGCUAGGAGGCAUUCAGUGUGGUUCAGACAUUC